GGCGCGGUAGCCAAGUGGUAAGGCGAGGGUCUGCAAAACCCUUAUGCAUCGGUUCGAUUCCGAUCCGCGCCUCCA
rnacentral:tRNA from 1 species